ACUGCCAUUGUGUGCAUUUGUGUAUACACGUGAAGAGAAGAGAGAAGAGGAGUUAAUUUAAUCGAGAGCUUUUAUGAUCAGAUGAGACGGUAACUUCUGCAGUGAAUGCUGUUCAUCGUUGAAGUCAUGACACGGAGACCGACAAUCUCAGGGUGGCUCUUCACGAUAGGUAUAUUUCUCUCGACAAUACUGCAGUGAUAGUUGUGUGUGCCGUCUUUGGCGUGAUGCUUAUCGCUGGGACUGUGAUUGGUGUAGUCAUAUCCAAAAAGAUGGAGCAGGAAGAUUCCCGAAGAAGUGCUUGACGAGAGGCCCUAUACAACAUUGCAACAUGGAGCGAGUGUCCCACAGGAAUAUGGAGUCACAAGGAACGACAACACACAGGGGACGUGUACGUCACCGUCAACAGAAGUGCUUGACGAUAGGCCCUAUACAACAUUGCAACAUGGAGAGAGUGUUCCACAUGAAUAUGGAGUCAUACGGAACGACACCACACAGGGGACGUGUACGUCACCGUCAACAGAAGUGCUUGAUGAAAGGCCCUAUACAACAUUGCAACUUGGAGCGAGUGUCCCACAUGAAUAUGGAGUCAUUAGGAACGACACCACACAGGGGACGUGUACCUCACCGUUAACAGAUGGGCCAAUCUAUGAAGACUGUCUCACAAACUAAAACCAUUGAUUCAUUGCAACUUAAACAUGUCCUAUCUAUGUGCCUACAAACGAAAAACUGUAUAAAUGAUAUUUUGCAGACUAUUUUUAAAACUUGUAAGUUUCCGGUGUGGAUUCGGUGACACCCUUAGUAUUAACCACUGGAUGAAAAGAUUAAUACGGCGACCACACCCAUGGAUUUUUAUGAACCAGGAUGUGUUUAACAGCAUUUUCAUUUGAAGCAGAUUAUCAGUUACAAUCACACAACCUGUAUGUAUCCUUAUAGGUGCGUGUAUAAAAUAAUACUUUUGACAUGAAAUUAUGAUGCAGUAGAUUAUCAGUUACAAUCACACAACCUUUAUGUAUCCUUAUAGGUGCGGGUAUAAAAUAAUACUUUUGACAUGAAAUUAUGAUGCAGUAGAAUAUAUGUACAUAUAACAGUUUGGAGUAAACUAUACAAAUGUAUCUACAAGGAAAGCCUUUGAUAUUCUUGUUAUGUAUAUCUGUGUUACAAUAAAGUUUCUAUUCUGAUGAGGUGAUAACGGGUCACAUAUAAUCCCGUUUGUUAGUGCUUGUGCUGUGGUGUAAAUGCUUCAACGAAGGGGCAAUGUGAAAACAGUCAGAAAAAAUUAUUCGAGGAAGAUCAUUAAAUUUUGUUGAAACUGUGCAAAUUUCAACAGCUUUGGUUUGAUGCAUUUAGUUGCUCAAACAAUAUUAUGGAUCAUAUUUUACUGAAGGAUAUUAAUGUUGAGUUUAAGGGGGAAUGUACGCACAAAACUCAGUGUUUAUUUUACAUGAAUCACAGCAAAACUGUGAUGAGUAAUUAUUUAGUUUAAUCGACAAUUUCUAUUUUACCUUUUCGAAAGCUAGAAACCUAAACACGUGUGAAAAUGACAAUCUAUUGUGUUUUCAUGAUUAAUAUUUUACUGAAGGACAUUAAAAGUUGUUUUGCGAAGUAUUAACGUGUGAAAAUGACAAUCUGCUGUGUUUUCAAAGUUGAACGGGUCAGGUUUAUCCCCUUAGAUUAUGAUUAACACAGGCUACCUGAUCCUAUGUGUUGUCACAUCGGAAAAAAUGUCAAGUGACCUUUUAUGGCAAGAAGCUAUGGCCUCCGAGGAAACGUCUGAUUCCAUGGAAGUACCCUUUGAGACAUGGCCAAACCAUACAUCUGUGAACCCAGGCGAGGGUUUCCUGAACAUGGAAGUCACGGUACGGAAGCGACGACAUUGACGAAGAUGAGAGCCCUUUAUCUAGUCGGUCGCAUCAUCCAACCUUGUCGAUCAUCGAGGUAACAUCCGAAUACCCAUAAACCUGAUAUUUGAGGUAAACGUCUUGACCAGAUGACCUCAUUGCGAUUUUGCGUCUAAGGAAACAGAUCAGUUAAACAGGGUGUUCUUGGGAAUGCCCACGUGUUUGGCUACGUUUUCAGUCCCAAACACAUGAUGUAGUCAUUUCAAAGACAGAUGUAAUAGAUUGUUUAUACCAUUGUAUAAACAUUUAUUAGUCACA